GCAUUAAUGGGGUAGUGGUAACCUGGGUCGUUGCCAUACGUUGCACCUGUUGACUCUGUCGACCCGCCGGGGGUUCAAUUCCCUCUUAAUGCA